rnacentral:sRNA from 22 species
GCAGUCCGCCUCAUGGACGAACCGACCACGCGUCGAGGUGUCCGGCUACGCUGACGGAGUGCGCCUUCCCCAAGAAGGACGCAAAGCCGACAGCCGUCGCAUCCCUGGGAGAUCAUCCAUG